rnacentral:rRNA from 1 species
ACGGAAGGCAGCAGUGGGGAAUAUUGGGCAAUGGGCGCAAGCCUGACCCAGCAACGCCGCGUGAAGGAAGAAGGCUUUCGGGUUGUAAGCUUCUUUUAUCAGGGACGAAGAAUGUGACGGUACCUGAUGAAUAAGCCACGGCUAACUACGUGCCAGCAGCCGCGGUAAUACGUAGGUGGCAAGCGUUAUCCGGAUUUACUGGGUGUAAAGGGCGCGUAGGCGGGGAUGCAAGUCAGAUGUGAAAUCUAUGGGCUUAACCCAUAAACUGCAUUUGAAACUGUAUCUCUUGAGUGUCGGAGAGGUAGAUGGAAUUCCUAGUGUAGCGGUGAAAUGCGUAGAUAUUAGGAGGAACACCAGUGGCGAAGGCGAUCUACUGGACGAUAACUGACGCUGAGGCGCGAAAGCGUGGGGAGCAAACAGGAUUAGAUACCCUGGUA